rnacentral:rRNA from 1 species
CCCUGGCUUGUGGGUCGAAGAAGAAAGCAGCUAAUUGCGCGUUGCCAUGUGAACUGCAGGACACAUGAACAUUGACAAUUCGAACGCACAUUGCGGCCCUAGGACUUGUUCCUGGGCCACACCUGACUGAGGGUCGG